ACGACCCCACAGCUCCUGAGAUAUUUUCUUCUCUCUCCAUGACACGAACCAAAAAAAUCAUUAUUUUUAUGUAUAAAAGUUUGCAACGCUUGGUUUCGUUCCUUCUGGUUUCUUCCGGAUUCGAGUUCUUCCUGAUAAACCAGAUCGUCGUCUUCUCCUUAACUUGAAUUGAGGUUUUUGAUUAUUCACUCUUCGUUCUCGCUAUUGCGAUGUCUCAGAGAGCAGCAAAUGAAAUUUCCAUGGCUUCGUUUCCACGCUCACAGUAGAGUUUCUGGCUGGGAUGAGUAUUUGGCGUUAAUGGAUUUUGUUUGAUCAGUGAGGUUGAUGGGCUGCAUUGGAUUAUAAUUAGUAUGACAGAUUCUAAAGUUUGUUUCAUUGAACAUUUCAUUCCAAAGCUGCUGGUACCUCUGCUGGAUGCAUUUACUAUUGGGGGGCUGGAUGUUAGUGAUAGCUUGAAUGGACUUCUUGCUAGUGUAUUUCCUUAAGUAAUGCUAAUUGUUUGUUCUGUUUCUUAUAAAGAAGAAAAAAGAAAAACCUAUUUUCUUUACCUCUUCUUCAAUGUCAAUAGGUUUUGUGGGCUUUAUCUUUGAUAAUUGGAUGAAGCCUAAAUUAGGAUGAUAACCUUUUGAAUAGGCAGCCUGAUAGGCAAUUUUAUUAUGCAUUUCAACAUUUUGGUACGUCCUAUCAAAUUGCUAAGCUAUGUGGAAGAUUCAUUAUAGAGCAAUGACUGUACCUGUGGCAUUCUUGUAAGUACUGCAAUUGUUGCCUCAAGCUUGCUGCCUCCCUUUGCCAAAACUAGCAAGUACAAAACCAAAAAGUAUUUUUAGACGAGCAUGAAAUGAGUAGCAGAACGUAGUUCAAAAUGUUAGAGAAUACUAUAUCCCAGGAAUUUGAAGCAUGCACUAAAAUUUAAUAUCUUGGCCUUCUUCACUAAUCCCUAAUUGAUUUUGGGUGGGUUGUUCUAACUUCUAACAUUGUAUACAAAAAAUUCAUCCACGUUUUGGGCUCAUUUUGGUUGCGUGUGCUUUAUAAAUUGACAGUUAACUUGAAAUCAGGAAAGACAUGGACUAAAUAACAGUAAACUUGACAGUUAGGCGGAUUGUAACUUUAUUGUUGUGUAUCACAACAAAUACCCUUAAAAUCAGGAAUGAGAUCAACUAGGGAGGAGUAGUUGAUACGAUUCCAAUUCCUUGAUCUAAGUUCCUCGAUUCAUAGCUUCCCCCAUUCCUGGUAAGUAUGCAUGCCAUAAAAGGAGAUUGAUUCCUAAUAGAAAAAUUCCUGAAUUGGAUUUCCUAACUGCCUGGGACUUACACUUGUUGGAUGUGGAUUUGAGCAUAUCUUUUAGUUGCUAUCAACUUGCCCUGUAACUAAUUUAAGUAUAAAUAUUUUUAGCAAUUUUCUGAAUCAGUUUUUAUAAUUGUACCAAGUACCAAGUUUAAGUUUUUCAGUUACCUAUUGUUCUUUGGUUCUCACAGUGGAGGUUUCUUAACAUUAUCGUAACUUCUGGUUGGUCUUGAAUUGUGGUUGUGGACAGAUAUAUGGGAUACUUCAAACCAUGCUUUGGUUUUUGUUUUGUUGUUCUAGUUGGGUCUAAUUAGGGAUCACCUUGUCCCUAUGUUGUAAUUUUCUUUCCUAUUCAAUGAAUACCUUGUUUUCUAUCAAGAAACAAUUGCAAUAUUUCAUCAUCAUAGUUGAAAUGAUGAAUUUGGAGUACUCAAUGAACAAACUUUUAAUUGACACAGCAUGCUGAUGCAUCUGCAGAUAUGUAGACAUGUGAUGCCUUCUCAAGUUCAAGGUCGGCUAUUAUAGAGAGUUAGACGCUCACUAUAUUACGCACUGUAUGGUGGUUUGGAUAUCUAACAGCAGAUCAUGGAUUAUUGAAUUAAAGAAAAGAGCUGUUGGUCACUGGUCACUGUUUAAUUGAUUUAAUGGAAAGUGGAAGUUGAGGAGAACAAGUAUCUGUGGACCGUAGAGAACCUGCAGAAUGGCAUCAAGAAUAACCUUGUAAUUGACCAUGGUUACUGGUUGAGGGAACAUUUGGUUUAUGCCUACAAUGUUACAUUACUUUAGUUUAGAUUCGGUUGUUUAGAAUAGUUUUGCAGGGAAACCUAGGAGGCUAAGCUUUUUUAGAUGCAUGUUAAUGUAAGUGCAUGAGCCUACAGUUAAAACAUAAAUUGUGUGAAGGAAGCUUAAAACUAGGCAAGUAGCUUGUAAGACAUUGCAUUUAGUUGUUCGGCAGCUCACUUGAACAACAAUUAACAGAAUAGCACUUGAAUGUAAGCAGAAAGUAGGAAGAGUGGUGUCUCUUUUAGCUUAAUGAUGGCGGAAAACAGAUAAAGCAUUUGGGGUUCAUCCCUUCACAUAUAGAAAGGAUUGCAAUUGAUUUCUAAUGAGCCAUUUGGAUAAGCUUCAUGACUAGUUGAGGAAUUGUAUCUCGUCAGUUUUCUCAUAAAUUAUAGGAGGCUUCAGGCAUAGGUUUUGUUGAGUUAUUUGGUUGGGUGAGUGCACAUUUGCAGGAUUCAAAUUUUUGUAAAGAUUAUGACGUCAUUGAUAUGCUCUGCCUAACUAGUGACAAAGUGAUAGUUAUUAGGGAUAUCUUGUUUUUGUUUGGCUAUGGAGAAUUAUGUCAUCUACGUCCAUGUGAAUUCUCAUUGAACAGCUCUGUAAUCUGGUCAUAGAUGUUUCUUAUCAGUUCCUAGAGGAAGAACCAAGUAUAAAAUAAGGAUCUUAUUGACCUUUGUUAAUGUACUCUAACUGGUGGCCUAACAUUGCAUCAGAAAAUGUUCUGUCCCAUUGAGUAAGUUGUACAUAUUCUGACUUCUCUCUUUUUUCUUGUGAUACUUGGAUUUGAUGGGCAUCUCAUUCAUCCUACUUGUAUCAUUUCUAAUAUAGAUUUGUUGCGUAUAUUUGAAAAUAAAAAAAGUAAGCAAGAGCAAGUGCAAAGAAGACUUGUAGGGCAUCAAUUAUAGAUCAUAUGCUUAGAGAUAAAAAAAUUUCAUUUCGUUUACCCACUCAUUAUAAAAUUUGAUCUUCCUUAUGUUACAUACACAUGUGCAUGAUCGCAUGCCUGCAAACACACACACAAAUGUGCACAUGCAAAGAUUGGAGUAAUUCUCAAAAUUCUCUAGCUUAUGGCCAUGACCUGAAAUUAAAUUUACAUGCAUGUGUGCACAAUAUGAAUUGUUUUGGACGCCAUUCAGGUGCAUCUCAUAUUUCUAGCUAUGGCCUCUUAUAUUUAACACUUGAAUGUUUUUAAUUUCUUGUUUGAUCUCACAUGUGCAUCUUCUGCGGGCCCUAAUGGUCAGCUGUUUGCUUAUUUAAGCUUACACUAAAUGUGGUGACUACUGUUUGGUUAUAGUUGUUAAGAGCAGGUGACUCUAUCAUUCUACUGAUGGAACAGCAAGAACGCUAACCAAUGGCUCACGCUUAGCUGAAAUUCAAGGAUGUUACCUGCCGCGCAUAGAGCAAUUGAUAACAACAUUUCACUGUUUGAAUAUUCAUGCAUACGGAAAUCGCUUGCCAACUUCAUGUCUGUCACCAUUUGGUUCCAGCAUAAAAAGAUUUUUCGUUCUUCACUUGUUUCUUCAAUUUGGUUGCGCAUCACUAAAGAAAUUCUCUUGGGAUGUGUUGCCUUACAUUUCCAGAAUCCAUAUGUUGGCACAACUGGAAAUUGAAUUAUGCCUUCCACCGUACUGCUGCCCUAGUCUAAAGUUUGCCGUUGGAUCAAUACAUGAACUUCUUUCUUCUUGUUUCAGAAUUCUGACUCCCAGAAACCUUUGGUUAAUUAAAUUUCAGGCUGGUAGUACUGCACUAUCUAUCAUCUUAGGAAUAAAAGGCCCUCCAAUUGGAAUUAAGUUGGAAUAGUCUGGAAUUGCUUGUUAUUCCAGACAAACGAACUAUUAUUCAAUGGAAUUAUGCUGAAGCUUGUGCUUGGAAUUCAUGGUGCCAUCAAAGCUUCAGCACCAACGUACUUUCUCUUAAACUUUUGUUCUUUUCUUCUGCAAAUGCAAACAAAUGGGCAUUAGCUCAAGGUGUUGCUUUAUUGCAAAUGGAAUAUUGUACAGAAGAUCAGUUUACGCG